rnacentral:rRNA from 1 species
AUUGAACGCUAGCGGGAUGCUUUACACAUGCAAGUCGAACGGCAGCGCGGACUUCGGUCUGGCGGCGAGUGGCGAACGGGUGAGUAAUGUAUCGGAACGUGCCCAGUAGCGGGGGAUAACUACGCGAAAGCGUAGCUAAUACCGCAUACGCCCUACGGGGGAAGCAGGGGAUCGUAAGACCUUGCACUAUUGGAGCGGCCGAUAUCGGAUUAGCUAGUUGGUGAGGUAACGGCUCACCAAGGCGACGAUCCGUAGCUGGUUUGAGAGGACGACCAGCCACACUGGGACUGAGACACGGCCCAGACUCCUACGGGAGGCAGCAGUGGGGAAUUUUGGACAAUGGGGGCAACCCUGAUCCAGCCAUCCCGCGUGUGCGAUGAAGGCCUUCGGGUUGUAAGGCACUUUUGGCAGGAAAGAAACGUCGCGGGCUAAUACCCCGUGGAACUGACGGUACCUGCAGAAUAAGCACCGGCUAACUACGUG